GCACCUACCACGAGAAACUUGAAUUCAGCAGGCAACCUGCAUAGGAGCAGAGAGUUGUCCAAGAGCCUUGGAACAGGUCUCUAGAAAAAGCUUACUAACACCUGAUCCAUGGAUAACUUGAAGAUUCAUUUAUUUUAAACAGUACCCUAAAGAGCGAGCCCCCACCCCCCAAAAGAGCAGGGCUGCACCGGAAGAACGUUGUGGUUCUGGGGGUGGCUGGUUCUUCUGUAUGCACCGAGUCCAGCAUGAUACCAAUGUCAACAUUGCUUGUUGACUUGACUUCUAGGCCCUAGCUACAAACCAGGGAAAGAAAACAUUUAGAAUGCAAACCUCAUCAAGUUCAAUCGUGAAAAUGCGAGAGUUCAAGUUGGAAGCAGAGGUGGGGGCAGGGCCAAGAGAAGGACAAAGCAAGGAUGCAGCAAUGAAUUGAGAGACACUGCCAAGGAUUUAUGGAUCAGAAAGGAAAGAUCUAAGGCUACUGCUUCAGUUAUCAAGAUGACCUACAGAGAAACUAAAUUAGGUACAUAAACAAUUAUGCUGAAAGCUGUGGGUGAAGGAGGAGCCGAGGGUUAACUGGCCUAACUCAUCAUUAGCAGGACUCAAGAGGUAACAUCUAAAACAUCAAGCCUGAAAACACUGAUUUAUCAGCUUGAAAAUAAGGACCAGAAGAGAGUUCAAAACAGGGUAAGAAGUUCUCUUGCCUGACUGGGCACAAUGGCGCAUGCCUGUAAUCUCAGCAGUUUGGGAAGCUGAGGCAGGAGGAUCUCAAGUUCAAAGCCAGCCUCAGCAACUUAGUGAGGCCUUAAGCAACUCUGUGAGACCCUGGUCUCUAGAUAAAAUACAAAAAAAGGGGUGAGGAUGUGGUUCAGUGGUUAAGCACCCCUGGGCUCAAUCCCCAGUAUAAAAAAAAAAAAAGUUACACUGCCUAGGUGGCAAAAAGGAGGGGUAAGGAAGGGGAACCAAGGAACUGGCAGGAAACAGUUGUCCAGAACUCCCAUAGGUAUAAUUUUGACUUAAGAAACAUAUAUUUUACAGUCACUGUGGGUUUAGGUAUUGGGAGCCAGUAAAAGAGUUGGUUCUUGGGCUGAUGUCAAGGUUGUUGGGAUAUUUAAAAAUAAUUUAUAUGGGCUGGGGCUGUAGCUCAGCUGCAGAGCGCUUGCCUAGCACUCGUGUGGCACAGGGUUCUAUCCUCAGCACCGCAUAAAAAUAAACAAAUAGGGGAUGGGGUUGUGGCUCAGAGGUAGAGCGCUCGCCUAGCAUGCAUGAGGCACUGGGUUUUCCAUCCUCAGCACCACAAAAAUGUAAAAUAAAGAUAUUGUGUCCACCUAAAACUUAAGAAUAAAUAUUUUUUUUAAAAAAAAUAAACAAAUAAAAUAAAGGAAUUGUGUCCAUCUACAACUACAAAAAAAAAAAAAAAAGGAAUUUAUAAAGCUGGGAUAUAGCUCAGUGGUGCAGUACUUGCCUGGUGUGAGCAAGGCUCUAGAUUCGAUCCCAUUCCCAGCAGUUUAAAAAAAAAAUCAUAUGUAUUUGACUUACAAUAAGUAGAACAUUUAUUUUUAUUUUUUUUUAGAGAGAGGAGAGGGAG
rnacentral:lncRNA from 1 species